UACGUAGGGUGCAAGCGUUAAUCGGAAUUACUGGGCGUAAAGCGUGCGCAGGCGGUUAUGUAAGACAGGUGUGAAAUCCCAGGGCUUAACCUUGGAACUGCAUUUGUGACUGCAUAGCUAGAGUACGGUAGAGGGGGAUGGAAUUCCGCGUGUAGCAGUGAAAUGCGUAGAUAUGCGGAGGAACACCGAUGGCGAAGGCAAUCCCCUGGACCUGUACUGACGCUCAUGCACGAAAGCGUGGGGAGCAAACAGGG
rnacentral:rRNA from 1 species